rnacentral:lncRNA from 1 species
AGAGAGCUUUGCUCAUAUCUACCCCUCUCCUUUGGAAAUGAAGAUCUCCUUUGUAGAUCAAGACCUCCUUUGGAUAAGAAUCCCUAGUGGAUCAUCAAGACCUCCUCUUGUGGAGAAGAAUCCCCAUCAUAGGAUUGUCUAGCCUGGUGAGUGUAUUUUGUACGCUCAUCACACCGUUGUUUAAGCUAGUUUGUUUCAUAAAAUAUAAGAUAUUCCCUUCGAUAUUUCCACUAAUUACUAAUGAAUGCAAGAGAUUGCGCAAUUCCACGGGAAAAGGGCUAUAUGGUGAAAAUCAAUCCUAUACAUGGAAAGAAGCAAAAUGGAGAUAUAAGAAAUCCAGUAGGAGGCACACUAGCACCAACAGAACGCAGGAUGGCGUCUAGUAUGAGCGUGUGCGCUCGUACCAGCUAUCCACGACACUAUGGCAUCCACCCCAAUAACUUUUAUAAAGGGACCCGUACCUGACUCACGAAGAGCAGACACCAGAACCUCCAUCUCUGCAUCAAAAGCCAUUCACAAACCCUAACUGCCACCAUUUCCCGUCUCAUAUCCCUAGCCACCACCAUCUUCACCAGCACAACAAUCCAUCUCCAAGUUAGCCAUACUUGUAAUCGUGUAUCACAUCUGGCAGCCAUUUUAAGACAUAUUAUCAAUAAAGCUUUCACCUUGAUGUCUUCUUCGACGACGUACAAUCCGAUCGCCAUCUGUGAGUAAUUCGGUAAGGCAAUGGGUUAAGGCAUAGCCUUGCAACCCGAUGUGUUUGUAUGAGGGGUCGAUGGAAUGACUUUGAAUAAACGUCAUGCAUGUGUGAAAUAAAAUUGCAUCAUAGUUGUCUCUUGUCUCUUAUUCUUCGACAGUGCAGGUACCCAAGAUCAUGGAGUUCGAGCCACGAGGAGGUUAGGAGCAGGGAGGACGUGAAGCACUAUUCUGAACACCGGUGACAGAAAGGUUUAAUAUGGUAGCAUGAAGCCAAUCCUUGGGGAUACAUGUGGUGUAGUCAUUAAAUUCCCAAUGCUUUUGUCUGAUUUAUCUUAAUUACCGAGGUAACCCCGCGACGGUGUCUUGGACUAGGGGUGCACGCCCCGUCGGCCUACUGUUCGUAGGCCGGGCCGAUGACCCACUAGUAAUUGAAGAAUGGGCCCUGGUCCUUGGCUUAAUCAAGAUGGAGACCUCCGAAGACUUCACGUACACUUCAAGGCGAGUUUGAAUGAUCGACAUGUUUAUCCCCAGAUUGUAACCGACCAUGUGUAACCCUAGAUACCCCCGGUGCCUAUAUAAGCCGCGGGGUUUAGUCCAUAGAGGCAAGUCUUUCGAGAUUAAGAAGGUUAGAGCAUGUUCAUACGAUCUCGAGGUAGAUCAUACUAUACUUUGUACCCCAUCCCACAAUUAAUAUAAUAAGAGCAUGAUGUAGGGUUUUACCUCCUCAAAAGGGCCCGAAC